UACGUAGGGGGCAAGCGUUGUCCGGAUUUAUUGGGCGUAAAGAGCUCGUAGGCGGUUGGGCAAGUCACGUGUGAAAUCUCCACGCUCAACGUGGAGGCGCCACGUGAGACUGCCCUGACUCGAGUCCGGUAGGGGAGCGUGGAAUUCCCGGUGUAGCGGUGAAAUGCGCAGAUAUCAGGAGGAACACCGGUGGCGAAGGCGGGUCUCUGGGCCGAUACUGACGCUGAGGAGCGAAAGCGUGGGGAGCGAACAGG
rnacentral:rRNA from 1 species